UGAGAAGGAGGAAGAGGAGGAGAAAGAGGAGGAGGAGAUGGAGAAGGAAAAGGAGGAAGAGAAGGAGGAGGGGGAGAAGGAGAAGGAGGAGGAGAAAGAGGAGAAGGAGGAGGAGAAUGAAGGAGUGAAUGAAUGAAUGAAUGAAUUAAUGAAUGAGUGCACAGAGGGCUGAAGGAUUUGCACACAGGGUCAAGUCCAUCGGUCAUGUGGACGGAGCCCAGAGGGAAGGAGCUGAUAACACAUCAUUAUAACACAUCAUUAUAACAUACUAAUAACAUGUUUGCCAUCCUCCCCGGCAGCGUCAUGUGACCCAGGUCAUAGGACAAGGACCCCCGUGUGACCCCUCAGGCAGGUUAUCCAGAGGGAUAGCACUUACCAUCAGACCAACCUCCAGGAGGUGACAUCUGAGGAGCUGGGAGGGACUGGCCUGGAAGGACAUUCUUUGAGCUCCACAGCUCAUUCCAGCACAUCGGGUAUUCUUGGAUGAGGAGAGCCUUGGUGAAAAGGAUUUCAUAUCAAUAAAUUUGGUUGAAUUUUUAUGGAAAGGAAGAGCAUUUGGUCUCACUUACAUGACACAGUUGUUUAUUGAUUGCUGCACAGAAUAUGAACUCAAAGGAGGUCAAAAUAGGCUGUGAAUAAACUUUUACAAACAUUCAAGUUGGAGAGGAUACCAAAGUCCAGAUGAAACAAAGCUGAGCCAUCUACUGGUUGGAGCCCUGCCCCACCCAUCUUCCCAUUAUAUAACAUUGAAGGCUGUGCUCACUACAGCACAGUUGGGCAGAAAGGAAGCCCUGCAAAAGGUAGCAUGCAAAGCAGGAGGGAGAGCACAUAGGAGUAAUUUGCUGACAGACAAGCAAAGAUGGAUCUGAUUUCAGCUUUCUCCCCGGAAACCUGGGUCCUCCUGGCAAUCAGUCUCAUGCUCCUCUACUGGUUUGGGACUCGUACACAUGGAGUUUUUAAGAAACAGGGAAUUCCUGGGCCCACACCUCUGGCCUUUUUAGGAACUGUACUGAAUUACUACAAGGGUAUUUGGAAAUAUGAUGUAGAAUGCUAUAAAAAGUAUGAAAAAAUAUGGGGGUGAGUAUUCUGGAAAGUUCCAUCAAGUCAACUCUUUUUAGGAGAAGGUGCCCUACUUAUGCAAGGACAAUACCAGCCCAGAACUGUAGUAAUGGACAUCUCUUUUGUGAAGGUACUUUCACAUGUCAGUCAUUAAAUGUCACUGCUUAUAGUCCUAAUUAACUUGAGAACAUUGCACACUGUUUUUUAAAGGGUUUUGAUGUUUUAUCCAGUGUCCUAACCUCUUCUGAAACUUCAUUACAUUUUCUGAAUGUAAUGAAUUUUCAUUACAUGAAAUACAUUCAGUGCUCUGAAAAUUUGUAAUACUAUCUCCUUGCCACAUCCACUCACUUCUCUUUAGAAGCCCAUACUUUCACUUUAUUGUUGACUUUACAUGUGCAGAAGUUUUAUUUUUUAAUGCUAGAGCAUAAAUCAUUUGCCAAGGCCUUAGCUGUGUCAUCCUAUUAUUGCUUUCAAAGACCAUGUUAGAGACUUUGUUGUGAUUGUUUAUAUUUUACUUCAAACCAAGGGGGACACAUGCCAUCAGGCACAUAUGUAGGUCAGAUAACAAUUGUGGAAGUAAGUUUUGUACCUUCAGGUGAUUUAACUCAGUCCAUCUGACUUGGUACAAGUCCUUUUUAUCUGCUGAACAAUCUCAUCAGCACCAGCUAGGAUUUUUAUGACUGUACAUCAUUGUGUCCUGUUGAAUUAAACUGACUUUGGAGAGACAAUGUAUUUAAAAACCACAACUUUCUUCCUCGAAUCUCUGGCAUUAAGGUUCUUUCUAUAAAGCAGCCAAGCGAGUAAAAGCAGUUGUUUUCUGUCAUUGAUGCUGGAAGUUUAGUGAGAGCCUUGGAGCAAAUGUCAUCAUGCUGUGAGACACAAACAUGUGGGAAGAGGCUCUGGCUCUACCUGCCUCUUCAUCUCUUCUUAUCCAUUCUUAGGAACCACAGGUCUGAACACAGGGCUCUACUAAGUUGAUAUAGCCCAUAAAGACCAUAUCAUUCAAUGCAAACUGCAGGCUUUUCUGUCUGUCCAAUGGCCCUGUAUGAACUUCUCCUUGCAAUAUUAUUGCUUGCUGGCAAUUGAUAGUGAUUUUUCAUUUUUCUCUGACCUAAUAACUUCUCUCUCUCUCUCUCCAGUGUCUGUUGAGGACUAGUCAUGUGUUAUGUAUUCAAAUGCUAUUUCAGUGCCUUGAGAUCUGGUUACUGCCAUGCCAUGGAUAUUGUUAUGAUGUUUAACUAUCUCCUGUAACCAUGGGAUGUGAAGGAAUAUUUUUCAAUUAUCUAUUACUAGAUGAUUAGUAUACCUAUACCCGGGCAGGGCAGAAGGAGGUAGAUGGGACUAUGGUUCUUGGGCUUUGGGCACAGAAGAAUGGUGGGUAGAAAGACAGGUACUGGAAGAGGUAGAGGAAGAAAGCAGAGAGCUAUCACAGCUUAGCUUGAAAGAAGCAUAUGUUGGUAUGGAUGGAGGAAAUUAUACAUAUGAGAGAAUAUGCAAGUGUUUAUGGAAUUAUGGGUGGAAGGCAGCCUGGGUUGGGGCUUGGAAGUAAAGGUUGUUUAGAAGGUUACUAUCUACUUUGCCCCAGGUGAUAUAAGGCUAUUCUAAAAUCUAUCAGUUGUCUGUGUCUUUUAUUGACUGUGAUAGUGGGUUAAUAAAUAUUUUUAGACUAACCACAACAAA